UACGGAGGGUGCGAGCGUUGUCCGGAAUCAUUGGGCGUAAAGGGCGCGUAGGUGGCCCGCUCAGCGUGCGGUGAAAGCCUGGGGCUCAACCCCGGGUCGGCCGUGCGAACUGGUGGGCUGGAGCACUGUAGAGGCAGGCGGAAUUCCGGGUGUAGCGGUGGAAUGCGUAGAGAUCCGGAAGAACACCGGUGGCGAAGGCGGCCUGCUGGGCAGUGGCUGACACUGAGGCGCGACAGCGUGGGGAGCAAACUGG
rnacentral:rRNA from 1 species